rnacentral:ncRNA from 12 species
GGUUGGGCAGGUAACUGCUUUCAAGUUUUGAGCUUAAGGGUGGAAAGCU